GUUAACGUAAAAAAUUCCCAACAUAAAUAUAUUCCAUAACCUUAAAUUAUAUUUUAACUUUAGUUAAAACUCAAUUUAAAUAAAUUUAUAUCAGCACUUAACAGUAUAUUUCAUUAUUAUCGGUAGAAAUUUUAAUAUUUCAUACGGCUAGUGAUAUACUCCAUGUUUAUUUUAUUAAGAUAUACUCAUAUAUGAGUUGAUAGAUCAGAACUUUUAGCCUGAGGAAAAAUACAUUAAGGCUACAUUACAACGG